rnacentral:rRNA from 1 species
GAUGAACGCUGGCGGCGUGCCUAAUACAUGCAAGUCGAGCGAACAGAUAAGGAGCUUGCUCCUUUGACGUUAGCGGCGGACGGGUGAGUAACACGUGGGUAACCUACCUAUAAGACUGGGAUAACUUCGGGAAACCGGAGCUAAUACCGGAUAAUAUUUCGAACCGCAUGGUUCGAUAGUGAAAGAUGGUUUUGCUAUCACUUAUAGAUGGACCCGCGCCGUAUUAGCUAGUUGGUAAGGUAACGGCUUACCAAGGCGACGAUACGUAGCCGACCUGAGAGGGUGAUCGGCCACACUGGAACUGAGUCACGGUCCAGACUCCUACGGGAGGCAGCAGUAGGGAAUCUUCCGCAAUGGGCGAAAGCCUGACGGAGCAACGCCGCGUGAGUGAUGAAGGUCUUCGGAUCGUAAAACUCUGUUAUUAGGGAAGAACAUACGUGUAAGUAACUGUGCACGUCUUGACGGUACCUAAUCAGAAAGCCACGGCUAACUACGUGCCAGCCGCCGCAGUAA